GGUAGUGUAGUUAAUAGCUGCAUUAUUUGACGUUAGCGACAGAAGAAGCACCGGCUAACUCCGUGCCAGCAGCCGCGGUAAUACGGAGGGUGCGAGCGUUAAUCGGAAUUACUGGGCGUAAAGCGCAUGCAGGUGGUUUGUUAAGUUCAGAUGUGAAAGACCCGGGGCGUCAACCUCGGAAUAGCAUUUGAAACUGGCAGACUAGAGUACUGUAGAGGGGGGUAGGAAUUUCAGGUGUAGCGGUGAAAUGCGUAGAGAUCUGAAGGAAUACCGGUGGCGAAGGCGGCCCCCUCGGACAGAUACUGACACUCAGAUGCGAAAGCGUGGGGAGCAAACAGGAUUAGAUACCCUGGUAG
rnacentral:rRNA from 1 species